CCUACGGGUGGCAGCAGUGGGGAAUAUUGGUCAAUGGGCGCACGCCUGACCCAGCAACGCCGCGUGACGGAAGAAGGCUUUCGGGUUGUAAACUUCUUUUAUCAGGGACGCAGCAAGUGACGGUACCUGAUGGAUAAGCCACGGCUAACUACAUGCCAGCAGCCGCGGUAAUACGUCGGUGGCAAGCGUCAUCCGGAUUUACUGGGUGUAAAGGGCGUGUGGGCGGGAGUGCAAGUCAGAUAUGAAAACGAUGGGCUCAACCCAUAGCCUGCAUUUGAAACUGUACUUCUUGAGUGCGGGAGAGGCAAUCGGAAUUCCGGGUGUAGCGGUGAAAUGCGUAGAUAUACGGAGGAACACCAGUGGCGAAGGCGGAUUGCUGGACAGUAACUGACGCUGAGGCGCGAAAGCGUGGGGAGCAAACAGGAUUAGAUACCCCUGUAGUC
rnacentral:rRNA from 1 species